CUGACUUCUUAGAACAGGUGUCUAUAAAAUAUAGAGUAUUUUUCAUUUUAUGUCAUAAAGCUAUCAAUCAGUUGCAGUUUAAUGUUAUGCGUAUCAGUCAUUGCAAUCUAGCUCUAAAAUCCACUUCAUUUGAAUCACUGUAUUACUCCAUGCAACUGGAGUUUUGCCAUGACGUAAAAUGGAACCAAGGUUUGGCUAGCUGAUCAUACAGCUGUUUUAAAAUCCCAGUCUGCAUCAUACCUAUGAACUAGGUAACACAGAGACCAAUCUGCGUUUGAAUGUAAUCUGUCUUCAAAAAGACUGAAUAGCAAAUUUUAUACGUGUGAUUUUUUUAAAGGUCUGACGGAGUACUGCAGUAUUUAUGCCCACACCCCUCAGUGCGGAAGAAUGCAGAAUUUGUUUCAUCUGCAACCAACUAAUAGUUAAGCAGGUGCUGCAGGCCUCUCCAGAACUGCUUUCACGUAGUAUUGGAUACUGCCGUACUUCCCAGUAAAAGAGGUCACCAGAGGUCUGAAACAAGCCGUCAUGAAAGCAUUACCGGUGCUCUGAUGACUUCCCAAGAUCACACAGUGACAUCCUCACUCAUGCUGUGACGGCUGCAAUGAUGAGAAGCAGCAGGAGGAAAACUCAGAACCAACUCAGGAAAUGGCAUCCAAAAUCUCAGAGCUCUGAAGCUCCUGUGACCUCUAUUACUGUAAUACCCGAGAACGUCACCUUUGUUCGUGCACGGAUACAGUAUCUGAAGGAAGUUAGGUUGGUAUUAAUGGUAUUUUCUUCUGUUACAUGUGGGGAACUGAGGCACAGAGAAGUCACACGACUAGGCCAAAGGUGUUCUUCAAAAAGGGGUUCCAGUGCUGUAGGAACAUGACCAGUCUUUGGAUGGUAUUUAAAAUUCAGCCUUGUGAAUGUAGAAAUAAGCUUAAAGAAAGCACAAAACACCCAACAGCAAACCAGAUGACACGGCACAAACUGCAGCCUUUCACUCAAGCCAAUGAAGGGACUCAAGUGAGAAAGGAUUUCAGGUUUCAGCCCUUCUGAACUGAAAAAGACCGUGUCUAAACUGACAUCAGCACAAACCUGAGAAGGCACAGAAAAUCCUAAUGGCAAGGACGUGAACUGCUGAAAAACAGCCUCACUUUUCUCAAAAAAAAGAUGGACCCACAAAGUAGAUGUUGCCACAGCAGAAAGAACAUGUGUCAUGGGAACAGCAGAGGCAAAAUGUGUUGUGGGAAAAUCUUGAUGGAUUCAGCCCAGGAUGAGAAUAUGCAAAUUUAUGCAAAAUUGAAUGCAAUUGAACAAGAUAACAUAUAUCCCAGCAAUGAAGAAAAUUUACAGCAUACUCGGAAAAAAAGAUGGAGUUUAAAUCCAGUGGGGGUCUGAGGAAGUUUAAGCCAUCCCCAGUGACUACAUUUUGGCAGGAAUAUGAAGGUUUCUCCAAAAAUGAGUCAGGAAAGUGCUGCAGAAGUGAAACAAGGAGUAACAGAAGUGCAAGGGUCAGUUACAGAACUAAAUGGAAGACAUGUAACCCAGCCCUCCUACAUAACAACAGAGUAGGUACUAAGUAAUGAUAGUUUGUCUGCUACUAAAAAGUCACCCUGUAGUUCACUUCUGGGAUACUGUAUGUUUUUUCUCUUCUCGGCCUGCUCUACUGGCAGAGUGAUUUUGAAGAGUUGCUGGUUUCCAGCUCCAAAGUAGCUAAUUUCAGUUCCAGGGGAAACAAAACUCUAAACUAGCUUUAUUUGUAAAAUCCUUUAAGAAGUGGGAAUGUCCUCUGGUUGUAAGAAAAGGGAGUGCAAUUCAGAGCCUGGUACAAAUUUAAUUAAACAUAAUCUUCCUUGUGGAAUGAGUUACUGAGCUCUUUCAGGCUAAACAUCCUUGAUUUUUAUUGUGCUGUCCUCCAAUAACACAAACCCUUUUGCAGGGCCAUGCUAGCCCAUCACCUGCCUUCACCGUGGUGGCACAAGUUGCCCUGCCACCGACAAGGAACAUUCUGGGAGCUAAUAACUUUCUACUUUUACAUGGCAAAUCCAUCUCUCUGGGUUGUCAGAUCACUCCGACACGGCUCUCCCGCAUCAGGAAACUACCAAUGCUGUCCCCAUGCUGCUGGGGUGAGGAACACACGGAGCCGCACCGGCUGCACAACAGCACCGACUGCCCUGCACCGCCCGUAGAAACAAACAGACAUUUCCAGCUACUUAAAAAAACUGCAGGGGGGUGGGUGGGGGG